rnacentral:rRNA from 1 species
ACCUGGGAGUAAAUUUAAAUGCUUGAAUAUUAAUAGUUAUAUUCUUAAAAAUCAAAGAAUUUGGCGGUAUUUUAGUCUUGUUAGAGGAACUUGUUCUAUAAACGAUAAAACACGUAGAAUCUUACUUAUCUUGGUAAUUACACAGUUUGUAUACCGUCAUUAUUAAAUAAUCUUGAAAAAGCUAAUUAUUGGGAUUAAUAAAUUAAAUAUAUUAGAUCAAGGUGCAGCUGAUAGAUAAGUAGAAAUGAGUUACAAUAAAAUUUAUUUAUAACGGAUUGCAAGUAGAAUUAUUUGCAAAGAAGGUGGAUGUAAUUGUAAAAAGAGUUUAAUAAGCUUUUUUGGUAUAAGCUCUAAAUUAUGCACAUAUCGCCCGUCACUUUCAUUUAAAAU